rnacentral:rRNA from 1 species
UGAGCAAUCUGCCCUCAGCUCUGGGAUAACCCCGGGAAACCGGGGCUAAUACCGGAUACGACCUCCACGGGCAUCUGUGGAGGUGGAAAGGGUUUCCGGCUGAGGAUGGCCCGNGGCCUAUCAGCUAGUUGGUGUGGGUAAUGGCCUACCAAGGCGACGACGGGUAGCCGGCCUGAGAGGGUGACCGGCCACACUGGGACUGAGACACGGCCCAGACUCCUACGGGAGGCA